UAGUCAUAUGCUUGUCUCAAAGAUUAAGCCAUGCAUGUCUCAGUGUAAACUUUUAAACGGUGAAACUGCGAAUGGCUCAUUAAAACAGUUAUAGUUUAUUUGAUAAUCAUUUUUACAUGGAUAACCGUGGUAAUUCUAGGGCUAAUACAUGCGUAAACCCCGCAAGGGGUGUGUUUAUUAGAUUCUAAACCAACUCUGGGCAACCAGGUACAUUGGAAUGAUAAUAACCGAACGAAUCGCACUUCGUAGUCGCGAUAGAUCAUUCAAGUUUCUGAC
rnacentral:rRNA from 1 species